AACGAACGCUGGCGGCAUGCCUAACACAUGCAAGUCGAACGAGAUCUUCGGGUCUAGUGGCGCACGGGUGCGUAACGCGUGGGAAUCUGCCCUUUGGUUCGGAAUAACAGCUGGAAACGACUGCUAAUACCGGAUGAUGACGAAAGUCCAAAGAUUUAUCGCCAGAGGAUGAGCCCGCGUAGGAUUAGAUAGUUGGUGUGGUAAAGGCGCACCAAGGCGACGAUCGUUAGCUGGUCUGAGAGGAUGAUCAGCCACACUGGGACUGGGACACGGCCCAGACUCCUACGGGAGGCAGCAGUGGGGAAUAUUGGACAAUGGGCGAAAGCCUGACCCAGCAAUGCCGCGUGAGUGAUGAAGGCCUAAGGGUUGUAAAGCUCUUUUACCCGGGAUGAUAAUGACAGUACCGGGAGAAUAAGCUCCGGCUAACUCCGUGCCAGCCGCCGCAGUAA
rnacentral:rRNA from 1 species